rnacentral:rRNA from 1 species
GUGAGGAAUUUUCCGCAAUGGGCGAAAGCCUGACGGAGCAAUGCCGCGUGAAGGAUGAAGGCCUAUGGGUUGUAAACUUCUUUUCUUAGAGAAGAAUAUUGACGGUAUCUGAGGAAUAAGCAUCGGUUAACUCUGAGCCAGCAGCCGCGGUAAGACAGAGGAUGCAAGCGUUAUCCGGAAUGAUGGGGCGUAAAGCGUCUGUAGGUGGCUUCAAAAGUCUCCUGUCAAAGAUCAGGGCUUAACCCUGGGCCGGCAGGAGAGACUCUGAGGGUAGAGUUUGGUAGGGGCAGCGGGGAUGCCCGGUGGAGCGGUGAAAUGCGUAGAGAUCGGGAGGAACACCAAAGGCGAAAGCACUCUGCUGGGCCACAACUGACACUGAGAGACGAAAGCGAGGGGAGCAAAAGGGAUUAGAAACCCUUGUAGUCC